GGCCAUCGGAGUGAGGCUUUGGGUCACCUCCCACCCGUGUUUAUUUUACCUUGUUGCUUCGGCGGGCCCGCCUUUACUGGCCGCCGGGGGGCUCACGCCCCCGGGCCCGCGCCCGCCGAAGACACCCCCGAACUCUGUCUGAAGAUUGAAGUCUGAGUGAAAAUAUAAAUUAUUUAAAACUUUCAACAACGGAUCUCUUGGUUCCGGCAUCGAUGAAGAACGCAGCGAAAUGCGAUACGUAAUGUGAAUUGCAAAUUCAGUGAAUCAUCGAGUCUUUGAACGCACAUUGCGCCCCCUGGUAUUCCGGGGGGCAUGCCUGUCCGAGCGUCAUUGCUGCCCUCAAGCCCGGCUUGUGUGUUGGGCCCCGUCCUCCGAUUCCGGGGGACGGGCCCGAAAGGCAGCGGCGGCACCGCGUCCGGUCCUCGAGCGUAUGGGGCUUUGUCACCCGCUCUGUAGGCCCGGCCGGCGCUUGCCGAUCAACCCAAAUUUUUAUCCAGGUUGACCUCGGAUCAGGUAGGGAUACCCGCUGAACUUAAGCAUAUCAAUAAGCG
rnacentral:rRNA from 1 species